UACGGAGGGGGCUAGCGUUGUUCGGAAUUACUGGGCGUAAAGCGCGCGUAGGCGGACCUGCAAGUCGGGGGUGAAAGCCCGAGGCUCAACCUCGGAACUGCCUUCGAUACUGCGGGUCUCGAGUCCGGGAGAGGUGAGUGGAAUUCCUAGUGUAGAGGUGAAAUUCGUAGAUAUUAGGAAGAACACCAGUGGCGAAGGCGGCUCACUGGCCCGGUACUGACACUGAGGCGCGAAAGCGUGGGGAGCAAACAGG
rnacentral:rRNA from 1 species